rnacentral:rRNA from 1 species
AACGAACGCUGGCGGCAGGCUUAACAUAUGCAAGUCGAACGCCUCCAUCGGGGUGCGUGGCAGACGGGUGAGUAACGCGAGGGAACGUGCCCUUUAGUGCGGGAUAACUCAGGGCAACUUGGGCUAAUACCGGAUACGAGCGAGAGCAGAAAGAUUUAUCGGUGAAGGAUCGGCCCGCGUCUGAGUAGCUAGUUGGUGGGGUAAUGGCCCACUAAGGCGACGAUCAGUAGCUGGUCUGAGAGGAUGAGCAGCCACAUUGGGACUGGGAGACUGCCCAAACUCCUACGGGAGGCAGCAGUGGGGAGAAUUGGACAAUGGGCGCAAGCCUGAUCCAGCCGUGCCGCGUGAGUGAUGAAGGCCUUAGGGUUGUAAAGCUCUUUCGUCCGGAACGAUAAUGACGGUACCGGAAGAAGAAGCCCCGGCUAACUUCGUGACAGCCGCCGCUGUAA